CCAAAGGAAAACAAAAGGAAGAACAAAGGAAGAAAAGAAGAACAAGAACCCUAGGUGGGAAAAUUCAAGGGAAAAUUGGUGGAUUUCAAGUAAUCAAGCAAUCGAAGGUAAAAUUUUUUGAUUUUGACUUGUGAUCUACCUUUCCCAUGCAUUUCUCCUUAUUUUUCAUGGUUAAAUUUCAUGUUUUCAUGGUGACUUCAUGGCUGGCUGAAUGGGUAUGGAGAGAGAAUGAUGUUGGAUUGAUUUGAUUUCAAGUUAUGUUAGUGUUUUUAGUUAGUUAGUGAUGUGUAGCAAGAAAAGCCAGAAGAAAAAUUCAUUUUCUCCCAUUGUCUACAAGAGGCCAAAUUUUCUAGGGAGAAUAUUGAGGCUGAAAUUGAUGAUAUUUCAUGAUAUUUUGGUGAUAUUUGAUGUUUGGUGAGGUUAGAAAUUAAAUGGGAAAUUUUGGUGUGAAAAUCUGAAUUUUUGCUCAACGUAUAGACAUGUGUGAUUAUUGAUCCGGGACUGAUAAAUUGAAUCUCAUUCAUAGUCACUGACGUAAUUUAGGUAUAAUUGGAGUGUAGAAAGUGAGAAGAAUUUAUUUGGAGUUAAAUUGGAGAUUUUAGCCGAUUAGACCGAGUAUAGUGUGACUUAGGUCGAAUAUCACAUUUAAGCGAUUAAUCAGACAUUUUGCAUUCCAUAUCAUGCAUUAGUCUAAAUUAGUUUAAUUUCAAUUUAGUACUAAUGUAGUAAGUUUCUCGAUUUUGUACUGUGUCAAGGUGGUGAGUCCUCUGACAAGGGCAAGGAAAUUGUACUCGAGGAUCAAUAGUUGGAGUACUAUAGAAAUUCAACUCCUGAAAUAGUGAAUAACCUUACUAUCGUCUUAAUUAUCUAAAGUGAUUUUUAUCCGAUUUUGUAUUUUAUGAAAAAUGAAUUAAAUGAUUAAUUUUUCAGUUUUAUAAACAAAAUGUGAUUUAAUGAAAUGAUUUCAUAAAAUUGUUUUAAAAUUUAAUAUUGGCUUUUCAAAUAGAGUAAUUGGAGACCAUUUGAUGUGUUGUGAAUUUAUGGUUCUAAUUGAUUAGCUUAUGACAAUAUGUCAUGAAUGGCUGAAUUGGUAUUUGUGUUGAAAUAUAUGAACUGUGUGUUUAGCCUUGAAAGGCUGUGAAUUACAACAAUUGCCAUAUCAUGUUAUUGAAUUUUAUUGAUUGGUGGGAUAAUUAUUAGCUUACUGUAGUGGGCAGGUUUCUGUGGAUCAGGCUAUUAGAGGGGCAUGGUAAACCCCGUUAUAUCUUACCUCAGUAUGAGAGGCGCGGGUGGAUAACUCCUAAGGCUAACAUUUUAGAGUUCACUUCACAUCAAACCACCACGUGAGGGGGAACUCAGCCAACGCCAAGGAAUGGCUAUAUUUUCAAAAUAAAAACAUGAUUUAUGAGUACAUAACUUUUUAAUAGCCUUGGCGGACUCAGUUGGGAUAGCCCUCGAUCAAGGCAUCCCUGAUAACUGGAUAUGAAAAUGAUUUUUGGCACAAGCCAAAGUUUUAAGAAAUUCAUAAGCCAUGUUGAUUACUCGAUUUAAAUGAAUUGAAUUUUAUGUGAUUGAAAUGAGUUGAAAGAUGAUAAAUUAAAGUAUGAUGAUUUAUUUUAUCUGUUUCCAUUUACUCGACUUUAGAUAUUUUAGAUGGUAUUUGUUUACUCAUUGGGAUUUUAUAAUCUCACCACCCUCCUUUCCACCCAUUUUAGGCUCAGAAUAGAUUGUAGAUAGCUGAUCGCAUCAAGGACCACCAUUGGAAUUGCAUUUUCCCAACUGUAGGUUCACAGUCCUCUUUACUUUUGAAUAUUCGGGGGUCCCACUUGUUACUGUAAAUUAAAUUUCAUACUCCAGUUAUCUGUACUAUUAUAUAUAGGAAUUUAUGUUGCUUUUACGCUGUGAAAAAAUUAAUUACGCAGUGUUCUAAAAAUAUUAUUUUAUAAGAAAAUAGAAUAUUUUACUUAAUAUUUCUUUUAUUUUUCUAUUAUAUCCAAAUAAGCAUAAUUUCAUUUCAAAUCAAGAUUUUAGACUUUUAAACUCAUUUUGAUUAUGAAUUAUGUGUUUUGUACUGUAUAUUACAUUUUAGCCAGUUUCGAAAUUUUUAGAAAAAAUGACCAAAAUACCCCUGUGAGACGAAAUUAUUAUUUUAUUUGUUUUAAGUUGGAAACAGUUUAAAAUAUUUUAGAACAUGGUAUUUGACAACAGUUACUCAUAGGGGAAAUGAGAAGCUGAUAUUAAAGCCUUGCGGGGUUCCAGUUGAUAUUUCGGGUAAUGAGUGUCGAUCAAGGCAUCGCGGCGGUUGUCACGGGCUUGAGGGGAGUUUCGGGUCGUGAUACUAGGUGUCGAACAAUGAAGGUUGUAACUAGAUGUUAGCUUUAAAGUGGUUUUAGUUUUGAAAUGACAAAAACCAUGAUUAAAAUUGCUUGAAAAAAUUUUGAGCUUUAGUUCUUCAUGUUAAAAACCCUUAUGCAUUUGUCUUUGAAAUGUGUAAGUGUUUUGCGUCGAAUUAGGUUCAAAAUGAAGUAGUUUUCAUGAACAAAGCUAUAAGGAUCGAUCCUAGGGUUCUAAGGGUCGAUCCAUUUCAACGUUGAAUCAAAUAGAUCCUUUGUUGCUUGUUAGGGAUCAAUCCCUCACUCACAGAAUUUUGAAUUUUGCAACUUGGGGAUCGAUCCCAUGAAGAAAAGAUCAAUCCCAUAUAGUUGUUAGACACAUUUUGUAGCAAAGCAAUGGUUAUAUUCUUCAUUCAAUGCCUCCCAACAGUCACCAAAGCAUUCCUAAGUAUAAAUAAAGCAUCCUUAACACAUUUAUGAAGUAGAAGAGAGAAGAAAAAAGCUUUACAAAGUAAGAAAGAGAUUUAUGAAGAAGAAGAGGAAAAAGAAAAAGAAACCAAGCUAAGAGCAAGCAUCUACAUCCUUCUGCCAAGUUUUUAAGUCUUCUAAUGAUAUCAUUCUUUAGAGCUUUCAUUCCUAUCAUUUUUAUUCAUCUUAUUACUAUCAUUUUUUCCAAACUUGUAUCUACUAAGCAAUAUCCACCUUCUAGAAGAAUGGUUCUACCUUGACCUUGAACAGGUAAAGAGAUUCAAAAUUAACCUUGAAAAGUCACUACAACAUUUUUAACUUUUUACAACACAAUUUUAGCUUUAAUUAUUUUAAAGCAACUAAAUUCUUUAUUAACACUUAAUAUAUCUCCAUUUAGCUACACUAUUUAAAAUGUAAUCAUUUAAAAGCAAACUAAAAUAGAUUAUGCAUUAGAACAAAUUAAAACAUACUUUUGACUAAGAGAAGGGAGAAGCUUACAAAAUAAUCGUAUGGUCCAUAUAAUUAUAUUAUGAAGAAAGCCCUAGUAAAUUCAAACAACUGUCCAAUGCAAAACCUAAACUUGAUUUCAACUCUAUUCUUUCAACACUUUCUCUCUCAAUUAAGUCUAUUCUUUACUUGAUUUCAACACUAGCUCUCUCUUUCACAUAAGCUCUCUCACUAAUUUUUUUCAAAAUUUUUUUUACUCUCAAUUUUUUUAAGACAAGUAUAUUCUUUUUCUUUUUCUUUGUUUCUUCGAUUCUCUUAACUCUAUCUCUCUCUCUCUCUCUCUCUCUCUCUCUCUUUCUCUCUCUUUUACCUACAAAAUUACGUAAGUUCUUGUUUAGUUACUAAGAAAAUUCUCGGUUGCUAGGAUCUAAAGAUUCUCAAUUGGUUACUAAGCAGAUUUUCUAAAUAUUUUGGUUUUAUGUUAAUUUUCUUCAUUAUUUUUUCAAAUUUAUAUGAAAUUUGAAUUUUGAGAGUUUUGAACAAAUGUUCAAUAGAGUUUUUACUGUGUAACUCAGGGGUUUGGGAGGUUAUUUUUAGUAGCUGCAUCUGCAACUUAAUCUGCUACAAAUGUUGUCCAAGUAAGAACAAAAGAGUUCACGUCGAAGGUAUUUUAGGAAAUUUUGAGUUUAAUUUCUCUUAUGAGACUUUUGCACAUUCACAUUUACAUUGAUUAAUGAUGAUAUUCACUGUUGAUGAAUGUUUAUCUUUUGUGUUUCCAUGUUAAUUUUCUUUUAGGUGCAUAGACAUUACUUUAUCUUUCAUGAAUUAAUAUACAAUGCAUGUACGAGAUGCAAUGUAGACUAAACCAUCUUUUUUGAUAAAUUCUUUCUGUGUAUGAAGCAACUUUUAACUAAUAAUAUUUAUAUUGUAACCAUAAAUCUUUUGAUUGGAGGUUUAUUAUAAGUGUACAAUUUGACUAUCAAUCAAACAUUUUGUCCAUCAAAAUUUGUUUUACCUGCAAUACAUGAUAUUUGUGAACUCCUUGAACUUGGUUUCAGAACUUAAAUCGAUGACCUUGAUUAUAAAUUGAGCUGUGGUCUAGUGUGGUAAUGGUUGUUGUUAAGUGAAUGUGGCUCUUCUAAUAGCCUUUUCGCCUAUUGCUUUUUGACAAAUUUGGACAUGGCAUAUAUUUGUGAUUGAAUAUUGAUGAAUAAGAUAUGGGAUCAUUGUGAUUAAAUAUUGCUUCUUUACUUACAUAAGAAUGACUAUGCGGCUGUUGUUUAUACUCUAUUUACAAUGAAGGGGUUGCAAAUUAUAACUACAGUAUUUAGAGCUAUUGGAUUCCUUGGUUGUUGUCUUGUGCAACAGCUUGGUAAUUUAAAUUCAAAUUAUUUUGUUUUAGUUAUUAUUGUACGUUUUGUUGAUGUUAUGCUUCUUUUUUUUCUCAUAUGUUUUGCCUUAAAAUGUACAUGAUUGAGAGCUUAUUUGUUUACUUUUUUUUUUAAAUCUGCUUAGGGUUUAAUUGAAAGGUGUAUACUUGUUUAUGUUUUCCUUCUCGUUUUGGCAAAAAUGGGAUCUCUAGUGUUACUUCCUUUUCAAGGUUCCGAGGAUAACCCUCAUCAUCUCAAGUUGAUGGGAAAUUUGGGACAGGUAGCAUACCACAUGAUAUUGCUUUUUAUUUAUAUUCAUAUUCAAGUAUUUUGGUAUGGUUUUAAUUUCAUAUUUCUCGUACUUAGAUAAUGCCAAUGAAAUACAAUCCAAAGGAUGAAAAUUUGAUUAAUGCAGUGAUUGAAAAAGCUAAUGUUGUUAUCAAUCUUAUUGGUAAAUUAGGGUUCACUUUUGAUUUUAGGUAUAAAACAUACUUAAAACUUAAAAGUCAUUUGAUCAAGUAUUACUUAUAUUGGCAGGAAGAGAAUAUGAGACAAGAAACUAUAGCUUCAAGGAAGUGAACAAUUUCAUGGCAAAACAAUUGGUAGUACAACUAGCAGUUGUAUGUAGGUUUCAUUCACAUUGAUAUUGGCACCCUUAAUCUCCUGAUAAUGGGUAUUAGCAUGAUUUUGGAAAAAUUCUUGUGCAAGGACUAAAUGUUCUACUUUGUCCUCCGUUGGACGAGUGGGUGGCGGUGGGGGGACUUUGAAGUGUAAGAGAAUGUUUAGUGUACAAUCUCUCUUUCUUUUAAAGGAUAAUUGAGCUAUGUACUUUAUUUUAAGCUAUAUCAUUUACUUCAUCUUUACAUAGACUUGAGUGCAAAUAGCAAUUUGAUUGACUGCAUUUUCUUUUCUGUCAUUCAUGGUGGUAUUUAUGACCAAAUUAUCUGUGAUACAUCUUAAUUGAGUUCUCAUCAUAUGGAACAAUGUAUGGUUUGCUUAUCAAAUCAUCUUAUGCUAUCAACCAUGUUCUACAUUCAACUAAGUUGAAUUUUCUACAAUUUUUGGUAGUUCAUUCUUGAUUUUUCCAGAUUGCCAGAGAACAUGGUGGUAUCAUGAGAUUUAUUCAAGUUUCUUGCUUAGGGUCUUCUUUUUCAUCUCCAUCAAGAUUUCUAAGAGCAAAGGUUGUUGCAGAGGAAGCUAUUUUAAAAGAAUUUCUAGAGGUAAUUACUCUGUUUUCUAUAACUUGAGAUUCUAAUGCUAGAUAGAUUAUUAAUUUUAUUAUAAUAUAAGCAAUGUGAAUCUAUAUUUAAUAGUUGUGAAAUAGUAUUAUAUAAUAAAGUACACAUUUUACAUUUAGCACAAAUGGGUUUUUUUUGGUUUAUUUUCUUAUUUGGGGUGCAAUUACAUAUGAACAAAAUUAGGUUGGAAAGAGAUAGAAAUGGUUUGUUUUAUUUAGCUUUCUAGGCAAGGACAACCAUUCUUAGGAUCACACCAUCACUAAACCCUCAUGCUCUUUCUCAAAUCGUGGUUUCUAAGCAAAGGUUAGCAUCCAAAAGAUAAUUCUAGAUUUCAAUAUCACUUUUUAUCUUUGCAUUGGUGAUUCAAACGUAUAGAAAAAUAAAGCUUGGACUGCAUUAUUAUUGCUUUAAUAUUAGAGAACCUGACUUAAUAUUAUUGAUUGCCACUAGUCUCUUAUUAGUUGUUAACUUAUAUCUGUCAAUUAUGAUAUUGGAUUCUUGAAAUGUCUUGUGAAUACACAACUUACUUUCUUUUAGACACCUAACUAGACUAAAAGAGUUGAAGCAAUGAUUAAUAUUGUAAUUUACUAGGUACCAAAAAUGCCUCUUUUACAAUAUAUUCUUAUCCACAUGCCAGCAAACUAUUUUGUGAUUCUACUUGAAUACUUUGCAUAAAGGCAAUUUGGAAUUAAUGUGUAAAUACUAUACGAGAAAUUGGUGUCAUUUGUUGUUGAUUGUUGUACAAAACCUUUUAAUAAUGGUCUAUCGUGUUCUAAUUAUGGGUUAGAUGUUUUUAUAUAGCAUUAUUCAUUGUUCUUGUUGUAUAGAAAUAGGUUUAUUUUAAUUUAAGCAAGAUGUUGUCAUUUUUGUGGCUUGACAAAGCCUUGCAAAUCUAGGUUAGGGGUUGAUUUUGUACAUUUGGGUUAGUUCUCAGCCCAUACCGACCUUAUAUGCCAUUGGGAGUCUCCUGUAAACAUGCUUGAGACUACAAAUGGCAUAUUGAUAUUAAGGCUAAUAAUUUUGCUUUUAAAAAAAUAUAUAUUUGCUAUAAUUUUUUGUAAAAUUUGCAUGGUUUAUACUCUCUAGGUUGCUGUAAAAUUUGCACCUUUUUUAUUUGUAUUAGAAAGUUGUAUGUGUUACUAUCAUAUAUUUUUUAGCUACACAUUUUAAAUGUUGUCAUAUGAUUUAGGAUUGUAGCCAUAUAGUAUGUGGUUGCAUAUUAAUUUUGUAGUAAAAUUUCAUUAAAAAAUGCAGCUAAAUUUUUCCGUACAUUGGUUACGGUUGCACUUUUUCUAAAUGCAGCCUUAACCUAAGGUAGCAUAUUUUUCACCUAUGGUUGUAAUUUUUUCUACUGACAGAGGUAAAAAAUGUUGUAGUGAGUUAAGGUGGUUAUAUCUUAGCCUUGAAAAGGUAUAGAUGUUCUAUCUUAGCCUUGAAAAGAUAGAGUGGUUAUAUCUUUGCCUUUAAAAGAUAAAAAGGUUCUGCCUUAACCUUUGAAAGGCAUUUGUAUUGAUUUUUAUCAAUAGUUGAUUUAACAAUUCGAAAUGCUAUUUCAAAGUAUUUGGUGCAUAGUUUCCUAAACAAUUUAGGUUAGUUUUCAAAACAAUCUAAGUUUCCUAAAGUAGUUUAGGCAAGUUAGUAAGUUUUCAAAAACACUUUAGGUAAAUUUCCAAAAUAGUUACGGGUUUCAAUAGGAGUUUAAACUGAUUGGGGUAUAUUCCUAAUCUUAUUAGGAUUUUACAUUAUAAUAUUGUCCUAAAAGAAAUAAGAGUACUAUCUUAUAAGGGUCUAAAUUAUAAAAGUACUUAAACAAUUUAAGUGUCCUAAUUUCAUUAGGUAUUUGCAUUGUGUAGAGUCUUAAAAGUUUUAGGUGUCCCAAUCUCAUUAAGAGUUUAUUUGCAUGAGCCAAUUACAAGUAUAAAUCAUCUAGGGUUGUCUUAAAUCUAGCCUAACCCAAAAACAACCCUUUUUGAAACCUUGGGAAUCAAAUUCCUUGAGGUUUGGUGCAUCUCACUAUUGCAUAGCAAUUUUGCCUAUGCACCUGAUGCUAUUGAGUUUGGCCCUUUCAUACCCCUUAGGUCAAUUUUCUUUAACACGCCAAAUCAUAAGGCAUUGGCCAACCCUUGGCCAAACCUCUCUAAACUUAUGACCUGGUCAUGAAAGCCAUUAUUUAGGUAAUAAUUCCAAAAAUAAAGAUGCAACCCGAAAUUUUUAGAAUUGUGCUUGACAUUCCUAACAUGUGCUCUUUCAACUUUAAACAAGCAGUCAGUAACCAAAAUCAACCCAAAUCAGUUUCACUUUUUUAUCAAGCCUUGUUAACAUGUUUAUGUAUCAUAUAUUUAAAUUUGGAAACAAAACAAAUAACGUAACCUAUUCAAUUUAAACAAGACAACAAGCUGCCUGAUUUUAAAAAAUUCAUCAAAAUUUUCUUUGCACCAAAUCAACAUACAAUUAAUAUUAACAUCAAUAAAAAGUAGAUCUACAUUGAAUAAAUCCAAAGGAGGCCUUGAUACCACUUUUGGGGUAAGGCCAUUCAAUUAUAUUACAAUAUGGAGCAGAAAUUUAAAACUUUUCCUUAAGUAGAAUCAUGCGUUAGUUUAUUUAGUAUAAAAAAUCUAACUAGAUGAAGAAGAUUAUUAUAUCUUUGAACUUUGGAGUUGAAAUCACAAGCUAACCAAUCUAAAGACCAAAAUCUUCUUUUGCAUUUAGCUUAGGUUGUUGCAAACCACACAGCUAUUUGAGUAUUCAACUUCUAAUGUUAGUCCACACGAAAGGCAAGAGGGAAUAACUCCAAUAGAGGAUGAAGUUGUUAAUUCUUUGAAAAACCUAGUGCUAAUAGGCGCGACACUCUUGAUUUUCCACUUCUCAAGGAUAGUAAAAAUGCACUAAUAAAAAGAGGACAAAGAGAGCCUUAUCGACACACAAAGUUUGGAAGAGGAAUGUCGAUAUCCAAGGUUCGAGGUUAGGAUUGAGUGUUGAUUCUUCUUUCUGCUUUCUUGCUCUUUUUUUUGUCAUGCCUUACAAAUUUCUAGUGCUUCAUAAAGGCAACAUAUGUUUAUAGACAUCUGUAACCCUAAUAGGUUUAAUGUAAUUAUCACGGCUUAUCCUCAAGCCAUGACUAGUGCAAAGGCCUAAGCAAGUAGGGCCACUGGACCCAAGCAAGCCUCAUACACAUAAUAGACAUAAACAUAAUGGAUAAAAAUAUAAUAUGAGAAUAUAUCUCUACAUAUAUAUAUAUAUAUACACACACACACACACACAUAUCCCAUACAAACUAUUUUAUGUCUUAUAAUAACAUUUAAUGCACACUCAUGUGCUCAAAUCAUCCACAACAUGUAUGUUCACAAUACAUAUUCAUAAUCAUAUGCCAAUCCUUGUUACGUCAUAGAGUGCACCAACUCAUUCAAGUAUACACAAUAAGAAUUUACAAACAUCUUGAAACAGACAACGGAGUGGACAACAACAUCUAUUGAAUGCCGUUAACUAGAACCUACCAAUGGUGUAACACCCCUGAUUUUUUUUAUAUGGCCUAAAUGUGGUGUUGGCGAACUGAUUUGAUAAGUAAACUUGAAAACUCGAUGUACAUGCUCGUGGAGCAUGCAUAUGAGCUAUUGUAGUCUAUAGAGAAAGACUUUGAAUUUUAAUGUGCAUUGAGGAUUCUAUUAAUAUGAUGAAAUAGAUAAGCCAAUUGAUAAGCUAAAUUGAAUUUUUGGUGUAUAUGUUUAAGAGUUUAAGAGUAUGCCAUGCCCAUAGAGAAAUGAAUAUGAUAUAUGAGCAUGUGAAGGCUCAAAAUAAUUUUGUGCAUACGCUUGGCACAUGUAUGGUAUAGUGCAUUGUUUGGCACUUUGAUAAAUAUCAUGUUUAGUGUAAACUAUGCUAAGAUUUGAUUUGUAUACUCUGUGACAUAGAGCAUAAUGGGGAUUUGGAUCUGUGUGAUGAGUACAUACUUAGAUAUUGAGCAUUCUUGAUGAAUUGAGGUGAGAAUAAUGAUUGUGGCACUUAGAACACAAUACCUUGAGACUUAGCCAAACUUUUGAGCAAUGGGUGAUAAAUCUUGAAUUUUGAAGUUUAAAUUGAGAUUUGAUUGUGCAUUUGAGUAUAUGAAUGAGGACUAUUAGUUAAGAUAGUCAUUUUGAAGUAUGGCAAAAAGAAGAAAUGAUAUUGGGAUGUUAAGUUUGGAUUUUUGGAAGUUUGGGUGUAGGAAUGGUGCAAUCUAGGCAAUAUGCAUGUAUACAUUAGCAAAUGUAUCGAUACAUUCUUAGAAAGAUGAACAUGUAUCGAUACAUUGCCUCAAUGUAUCGAUACAUUUGAAGUAGGGAGCACCAACGAUCUUUUUGCUUGAAAUCUAUUGAUACAUUGUCUCAAUGUAUUGACACAUUAAUUCGAAAUUAGGGCAGAUGUAUCGAUACAGUUGGCAAUGUAUCGAUACAUCAGAGAGAAAAGGCAAAAAUAAAAAGGGGUUUUGAAGACAUUUCUGCCCAUUCUCUCUCAACUCUUUCUUUUAUUCUUUCUCUACCCUCUUUGAACCCUAAACUAGUAAAUUCCAUUUGGAGCCCAUUUGACCUAGAUCCAAGUUUGGGAAAACAAUCCGGAGGUGAGAUUAUGCAUUUUUAUUGAUUGAUUUUCGAUAUAAUCAGUUAGUAACCUUGGAUCCAAAUAUUUUUAAAUUUGGCCAAACUCUGUCCCCUUAAGUUUAUUGGUGAUUUGGAGCCUAGAUUUGGGCAACCCAACUUUUAAGGUAAAGAUUUAGCUCAUUUGUUGGAAGAUUGAGCAUAUAUAUAUAUUGAAUUUGGUUAAUUUUGAAAAGAUGGGAUAUUUUUGAAAGCUAAGAAAUAAUUAUGAUUUUGAUGUUUUGAUGUGUCCAAGGGGGAAGUUUAGCUAUUUUACUCAUGGGUGAGCUAAAGGAUGGUUGGAGGCUAAGAAUCGAAGCUUGGUUAAGGAUGCACCUUCGAUUGUCAAGGUGAGUGUGAUUUAAGUUAAAUACACGUAAUGCAUAAUGCAUGAUAGAUGUGCUGCCAUGGUACUAGGAUAAAAGAUGCAUGUGUAGACAGAUGAAUGUAGGCUAGAAAACUAUAUAUGUGUGUAUAUAUGUGUAUAAGGUAUGCCUAGAUGAGAGUGCCUAGGCUAGAGAAUUGAUGUGUAUGUAUAUAUCUCUAUGUAUGUAUAUGUAUGUUUACCUAGAGAUAUGUGUCUAGGCUAGAGAACAAGUAUGAUUGUGUGCCUAGAUGGGAAUGCCUAAGCUAACUAGUUAUUUGAAAGAGGAAAUCUGUGUUGUGUAAUUGUGGUGAGCCACAUGGUGGAAUUGUGUUGAAACCCAUGGUUUAUAAGACUUAGAGCAAAAGGCCUACCCAUGGUGUGACAUGAGUUAUAAAUUAAGGACUAUGCCAAAUUAUGAUGAAUGGAUUGCCUGGUUAGGUAUAUGAGUAUAAUAUGUAUUUGGGUUAAUGGCACAACAUUGGGUGAUAUUGAAUAUGUGGGGUCGAAGGGCCAUGAUUGCUUAUGGACAUGAUUUAUGCGUGAAUGCCCACAUAAUUGUGGUUUAUUUGAGGAUAAGUAUUGUUGCAAUUCGACCUCAUGCUCAAACAUGAAAAUAAUCAAUAAUUAAAAUAGUAACGUAGCGAAAAAAAAAAAACAUUUAAUUAGAGAAAUAGUCAAAUCUUACAGGAUCAAUGUUUGUGUUUUUCAUGCAACUUUUAAAUUAAUAAUGAACACUCAUAAGUUUAAGAGUUACAUACCUUACUCUAGAUAUCGUAAUCAAGAGCCAAUUAAAUCCAAAUAUUUGCUUCUUCACCUUUAGGAUUUGUCAAAUCUUUAGCCACCCAAGUGUUUAGCCUCUAAUAGUAAUUCACAUAGUGACUGAAUAAGACCUUCUUAAAGGUAGGAUUUUUACUUGUGCUAGCAAGUAUUGUUUCUAAAACAAAGGACCAAAAUUCUUGCUGAAUCUUAUUUUUGUCAAAUAAAGAAAACUAUUUUUCUUUUCUUAUUUAAUGAAAUAGCUGAGAAGUGGUUUUUUUUUAGGCUUCAAGUUCUAGUUUGCUAAUAUAAUAUAUUUAUAUAGCCAAACUAAUUUGUAUCCCUAAAUGCAAUAGUUGUAUUUUAAUUUAAUUAAGUCUUUGAAAACUUAAUUAAUUUUCCACUUUAUUCGAUCUCUUUCAAUUAAGUCCAACUUAAUUAAUUAUCCUUAUUUAAUCUCAAUCAUGUCACUUAAUGUGUGUGACCCAUUAGGCUUCUAACAUGUUGGCAAUAAAUAUAAAUCACAAUCAAAUAUCAAUUUGAUAAUUAAUUUAUAUUUAUAGAUCAUGAGCGGCAUCUAGCAAUACAUCUGACCACCCAAAUGUUAGAGAGUCAAUUAAAGAAUUUGACAAAGCCUUUCAGUGAUAAGCCUCUUAGUGCAAUACGGUCCUUUCAUCAAAUAUCUCGGAUAUGUCCUUAAGCAUGGCUCAGUGUCUACUUAUAACAUUCCAUAUUAGUUCCCAUAAUUCAUGACUAACCUUAUGAAUUUAGAAAACUAACUUUCCUCAAAUUCAUCAUGCUUUGGCCAAAGACUUUAUACAAGUUAAUCAAGAAUUGAGAACAAGUGAGAUACAUCCUCUUAUAUCACUUGGGGUGAUGAAUCCUCCCUUGACCACUCAUUCACCUUCGCAUGCUUCAUGGCAUACCCAAAAGCACCCUAUUUAGGCAUCUGGUUGCUUCCAAAUUGGUAGUGGUAAAAUCAAAGUAUGUCAUUACCCAUACAAGAUGACAUGGUGUCUCAAGUCCAAGGACUAAUUGCAUGAUUAUCACAUGAGAACAUUUUCCAUAGACACUUGAGUAAAAUACCAAAUGGAGUUCUCAUAGUGGGUCAUGUUUAGUGAACUUGUUCUUUAACAAGCACCUACACGUUAUCCUCAAGUAUCCUAUGUACUUCAAUCUAUGAGAUCGAUUGCUUACUUUCCAAGUAAGGAGGCUUAACAUGUACUAGUCUUUAAGCAUUGUCAAUACCCAGUCUUAACAAUACAAUGGCUAGGAGCAAUUUUGGGAACAUGACUUUGAUGCAUAGUGAUCUCAUAAUUGUAACAACUUUACAAUUCUCUUGUAAGGCCUUUGUGUUCUAUGGGCUUCAUCCAAUUAGUACUUAAUAACUCUUUAUUAUUGCACUAACAUGAAGGAAAACCUCUAUCACAUAUAAUUAUGCGAUUAAAUAUGCAUUAAAUGACAAUAUAUAUAAUAUUUCUUGACUAAUCUAAUUGGGUCUAGGGCAUAUACCAACAAGUAUAAGGCUAUUAAGCCACGAUUGACUUGAUUGAAUAUGAUGAAUACCCAUGUGGAGUUAAGGACAUGAGGGCCUUUAGAUUGAUUAUGUUUUGUUUGAUGAUGCCUUUGAAAUUUGAAGGCACUUAAAAUUAUAUUGAGCUUAGAGAUGAUUGAAGCUUGCUAAAUUUGAAUUUGAUUUGAUGUGGACAUAUGGAACGUUAUAGGCACGAUGGCUUGAUUUGUGGAUUUGUGUUUCGUUUGAGGGAUGAAUUUUGGAUGUUGAUUUGACUUGAGGUGGAGUGGAGUCCCACGCCUUGUGACCUUGUGUGCUUACAAGGAUUGUGGUAAGUAGGGAUGGUGGCAUUAAUCCUUCCUAUGAUUCCUGUCUGCAGUGCUUUGAUGCCAUCCGUUGAGAUUACUCCAGAUGAUGCCGAUGUUGAGAGAUUACUCUAGUCGAUGAUAUGAUUCUUUGCUCGUUGCUUCGGCAUGUGCGUGAUUUGUUUUCUACCCAUUGCUUUGGCACGUGCGUGAUCUGUUUCUCUCCCCAACUGCUUUGCCCUGUGUGUGAUUUAUUUCUCUGUCGGUUGGCCAUCAUGCGUUAUUGAAUGAUGUCCAGGGCAAAACCACUCAUUUGAUUUUGUUUAAAUGUGAUAACAUGCAUUGGAGAUGUCAUGAUCUGAUUUGAAUAUGAAAUUGUGGUGACUGACUGUGGAUGAUAUUUGAUGGAAUGCCUCAAAAUAAGCAAUUGUUUGUAAAUGAGAUUUGAGGUUGGGCUUGGCAGCUAAGGUGUGCCUAUGAAACCUAGUUUGAUAAUAACAUCGUUAAAGGUAAGCUUUAAAUUGAUAUGAUUUGAUGUGAGAGAAUGGAAUUUGUGAAUUAUGAAUAUAAUACGCUAUUGAGAUAUGAUCCGGUAAGACUUGAUAUGAUGAGUUGUGCUUAUAGGAUAUUAGGAUGAUCCUUGCACCUUUGAACUAGAGAUGUUUGAAUAUGAAAGUCUUAUGGCUAUAUAAGCCUAAAUAUAUUUUAUAUGUAAAGUAUUAUGCUAUAAUAGCAUCUUCUCACAAGUAUUAGAUGACUCACCCUUCUGUUGUACCAUGUGCAGAUACAAUAAGCUAUGGGGUUACAUGGCAAGUGUCAUCAAUUGGAUAAAGAUAUAAUUGGCAUUCGGUAGGUCUUCCUCCCAACAUGUCAUUCCGCUGAGUCUGUAUGGGCCUUCUAUCUUCUAGUUUGAUUAGUAGGUGAAAUAUGUUAAGCAUGACGUGCCAUAUGAAUUUGUGUAUAAGGUUUGUUAUGUAUAAACCCGAUUUGAUGGCCAAUGUAUGGCUUUAUGUAUAAUUGUAUGGAUUGUGAGCCAAGGGCAAUGUAAUAUAUUUGAAAUUGUUACGAAUAUUUAAUUAUAAGUCCCUUGGCAUUUAAGUUAUAUGGUUAUGAACUUUGAGGCUUGCUCGGAUCUAGUAGGCUUACUUGAUGGGCUCGUGCGCUGAUCAUGGACCCCUAGAUUUGGGUCAUGACAAAUGGGAAUAGAUGGAUACCUCUUUAAUAGUGGUAAUCCAAACAAGCUACAAAUCUGAAAACCAAAACAUGAAUUUUAAAUGAUAAGCAUAUAACUCAGUGAAUGGAUGAGUUAACGCACAAGCAUUCUUAUAACAUAAUAUCUUUAUUUUAGAACAUGCACAUUUCAAGUAAAUCAAAACAAUUGCAUAAGACAUGUAAAACCAGCACUUAGAAGUCAUUUAGAAGUAAUUUAAAGGUAUUAAAGCCCAAUGGAAACUUAUCUUUAAGUAUAUAAAUAAUUCCAAGUGAAAAACAUUUUAAGAAAAUGGCAUUUUUAUAAAUAACACUACAGGGAUCAAUCCUCAGGGAGAGGGGGUCGAUCUUUUUUAAACAAAAUCAUUUUGGUGGAAAAUUACCUUCCAAGGAUCGAUCUCUUCUUUCUAGGUGUCGAUCCCUCCCUUCCAAGGGUUGAUCUUUUUUGUCCAAAAUGCUUAUAGACUUGCAAGAUUCCAAAUUUUUGACACAUAAUCAUUGAAUAGACAGAUCUUACUCAAAACCUACACACUUUUAACAAAAAUAAAAGGCAAUAAACCUUUUCAAAUUCGAGGUUUCAUAAUCUAACAUCAAACAAGAAGAUCAAACAUCUUUUUUGCAAAUACCAAAAUUUAUAGUUAUAAAUCAGUACCGAUAUCAUUUCAAUGGUCAAAUUACAUUUAAAAAACUUUACAUUUUUGUGGAACCUUUUUAAGAAGUACAAGGCAACCAAGGGUGUCCCAACACAUGGAAUAGUGCCACAAUCCCUACAUCUAGUACAAUAUUCAUCUAGUGUGUAUAGCCACUGAUGUUAUGUGCAAUAAGAUACCAAAGGUACUUCUGCCCAUUAUAACAAACAUGUGCCUUACUCCUCCACGCAUGACUAGCACUGCAUUCGUUGCUAGCUAGGAGAACAAAUAUUAUGCACAAUGACUAGCAUUUACUGUCACUAGCUACAAGUCCAUAACUUACGUGGCUCCACUAAAACAUCAAAUCACAGUUCCUUAAGUGAAACCAAUUUAGCACCUCAUAAUGAACAUUCCAAGACAAGUAACUCUUACCAUGUCAUCAACACGAAUUCAUUUCCAUCAUGAGCAAACCUUAUUCUAAAGUUGCCAUUAAUAAUAUCAAACAUUAAGCCUUUAUUUAAGACUCACAUGUAAAUCACAUCUCAAGGUCAACCAUCAUGCGACCCAUGUACCAUUCAAAUUCAACUUCCAUUUGAAAUAAGAACACAUUGAAAAUUCUUGUUCCCUAUACAUUCAAAAUAGUAGAAUACGCACACACAUAUCAUAGAAAACACAUUUAAAGGUAUUUGGAUUUAAAGUCAUAACUUUCUCAUAAACACAUAUUUGAAACUCAACAUUUAAACCAACAUUCAAAUGAACAUUUGGUAAACAAUAUUUAUGAAUAUUUAUUAUCAAAAUAGUUUUACAAUGCAAAUUGACACACUACAUAAUCGACUCCUUUCUUGUCCAACUCCAACCUAACAACAGUUCUACUCCAAAUUAAAUUUUGAAGACUCAGUGAAACUUGUCAAAAUUAAAGUCAUCACAACAAAGCUCAAUUCAAUCACCAAUUUUCAGAAUUUAUAGAUUUCAUAAAGCAAUUUUACCUAAUUUCUCAUCCUAGCACCAAAUUCAACCUAUAUAAUUAUUCUAACAAGUAAACCCACAAUUCCAUCAACCUAAAUCCCUUAAUUUCUUACCUAAAUGAGAUAAAAUUAGAAGUUUCUAAACCAAUUCAAAACUGUAAUGCCCCCAACUUUGAUAUAGAUUAUGUGCGAUGCUGGUCAAGCCAGUUGAUGAGUAAGUUUGAACCUUAAUGAAUAUGUCUAUAUUUGUAAAGAAUAACCUUGAAUUUUUGUAUGCUUGAUAUAUUUGAUAUAUGUGGUGUAUAUGGUGAGUCUAUGAAAGUGUGAAAUAUGAUAUUUACUCAAUAAUAUUGAAUUAUGAUCAAUGAACGAGUAUGUUUGGAGUUGAUUGGAUAUUUGACUAUAUCUUGAACAUGUGUAUUGAAAUUUUGAGUUAUAUGGUUGCUUUGAGGUGCGGUUAAAGUAUGAAAUGAAUUAAGAUGAUUUUGUGAGUUUCAACUUGGAGUUAAAAAGCUAGAAGUGUUGAAAAUUUGCAUUAUAGAGAAAAUGUAUUGAUACAUUUUUGGCAGUAAGGAUAAGGGAGGCAUUUUGAGGAUUUUUAUCAAUACAUUUAAGAAUGUAUUGAUAGAUUUAAACUAGGAGGACAUUUUGUAUAAUUUUUAUCUGUACAUUGUCCAAAUGUGUCGAUAACUUUGUGAAUGGGGACAUUUUGUAUAAUUUUUAUCGAUACAUUGUCCAAAUGUAUCGAUACAUUUUGUAUAAUUUUUAUCGAGAUAUUGUCCAAAUGUAUCGAUAGAUUUGUGAAGGGGGACAUUCUAUAUAAUUUCUAUCGAUACAUCAUCCAAAUGUAUCGAUAGAUUUGUAAUGGAGGACAUCUUGCAAAAUUUGUAUCCAUAGAUUUCCCCAAUCUAUCGAUACAUUUGUGGUAAGGGGUAUUCUGUUGGAUUUUAAUUGAUACAUUGCCUCAUGUAUUGAUAGAUUUAAGUAAAAAUUCAAAGGAAUGUAUUGAUACAUUCCUAACUGUAUCGGCACAAGCAUGCAAAUUUACAAAAAUAAAAGAGCUUUAGGCUGUUCACCCAUUUAGAAAACAAAAUAAAUAAACCCUCAUGCCCUGCCCCUUUGAACCCCAUGUCCCUUAAUGGAUUUUGGGAGCUAUUUUGAAAUGGUUUGGAGCUUAGAAAAUCAUUAUUGUGGUAAGAUUAAACCUUUUAACCGAUUGGUUUUCAAUUUAAUUGGUUGAUAAUGUGGAUUUCAUUUCGUUUCAGUUGGACUUCCGCCCUCCCUUAGGUUGCUAGAAAUUUGAGGGUUAAACCUAGCUUAAACUAGAAUUAAGUUAAUGGCUUAAGGCAUUUUUAACUAUAGAAUCCAUAAAUUUGACUUGUUAUUUUGAAUAGUUAACAGUUGAACUAGUCGAAGUGCUGAAAAUUAUUUAAAACACUAAGAAUGCAUUUGUAUUGUCACGACCCGAAACUCCCAUCGAGCCCGUGACAAUCGUCGCGACGUCCCGAUAGGCACGCAUUACCCCGAAUGCUGAUCGAAACCUCGCAAGGCUUAGCAUCAGCUUUCGCAUCUCCCCAGUGAGCGACAGUUAUUAAAUCUCACAUUUCAAAAAAAUCAUAAGUCAUUUCCAAAUCAAAACAAUAAAAUAUAACUUUCUGGCUCACAAGGGCAUUUUCAUCAUUUUUCUUCGAAAAUACCGAAACUCUCCAAAAACAUGGUGUAAAAGCUAAAUAUAUUCAUACAUACUUUAAAUCAAAUAGCUGAAGAAUAAAAUUACUUUUACAGUGACACGUGGGCCCCCAACUGACUAAGAAGAUGUAGGGCUACGAACCCUUACUUUCUAGGAUACAACUCCGAGAUUAAUUCUCGUCUUAAUCAACUAUCAACAAAUUGUCCUGAGCCUGAAAAAUGGAUAGGAAGAGGGGUGAGAUUAUGAUUACAUAAUCCCAGUGAGUAAACAAUUACCAUCAAAAGCAUGUAAAGCCGAGUAGAUGGAGACAAUAUAAAAACAUUAUAUCUCAAUAAUGUUCAUAACACAAAAUUCGUUUCAAUUUAUACCAAACAAUUUCUUUUCAUCAAAAUUUCUCGGCUUAUGAAUUUCUUAAACUUGGCCCCUACUAGAAUCAUUCUCGCGGGUACCUUCGUCAAGGUAUCCCACUGAGACCACCAAGGCUGUUCAAUGACCCAUACCCAUAAACAUGUUUUCACAUAUGACACACAGCCGUUCCUUGGCGUUGGCUGAGUCUCACUCUCACGUGGUGGCCCAAACGUGAGGUGCACUCAAAUCAUACCUCACAAGAUACUUCACCCAACAUCUCCCCCCGGAGGUAAGUAUAUAAUUGGGUUAUCGUGUCCCUCUCAUAGGCAGUCCACGGAAACCCCCACCACUGCAGUGACCGUUUAAUAUACCACCAGACCCAUAAAAUUUCCAAUAGCAUAAUAUGACGAAUAAA
rnacentral:lncRNA from 1 species